GUCCACGCCGUAAACGAUGGGCACUAGAUGCUUGGGGGAGCGACCCCCUGAGUGUCGUCGCUAACGCAUUAAGUGCCCCGCCUGGGGAGUACGGCCGCAAGGCUGAAACUCAAAGGAAUUGACGGGGGCCCGCACAAGCGGUGGAGCAUGUGGUUUAAUUCGACGCAACGCGAAGAACCUUACCAGGGCUUGACAUGCAGGGGAAAUCCUGGGGAAACCCGGGGUGUCCUUCGGGACUCCUGCACAGGUGCUGCAUGGCUGUCGU
rnacentral:rRNA from 1 species